AUUGAACGCUGGCGGCAGGCCUAACACAUGCAAGUCGAACGAGUGGCGGACGGGUGAGUAAUGUCUGGGAAACUGCCUGAUGGAGGGGGAUAACUACUGGAAACGGUAGCUAAUACCGCAUACCAUCGGAUGUGCCCAGAUGUGAUGUGCUAGUAGGUGGGGUAACGGCUCACCUAGGCGACGAUCCCUAGCUGGUCUGAGAGGAUGACCAUCAACACUGGAACGGAGACACGGUCCAGACUCCUCCGGGAGGCAGAAGUGGGGAAUAUUGCCCAAUGGGCGCAAGCCGGAUGCAGCCAUGCCGCGUGUAUGAAGAAGGCCUUCGGGUUGUAAAGUACUUUCAGCGGGAAGGCGUUACCCGAAGAAGAAGCGCCGGCUAACUCCGUGCCAGCAGCCGCGGUAAUUA
rnacentral:rRNA from 1 species